GGAUGAACGCUGGCGGCGUGCCUAAUACAUGCAAGUCGGACGGGGUACAGAAGCAAUUUUGUACUUAGUGGCGAACGGGUGAGUAACGCGUUGGUGACCUGUCCCAAAGCGGGGGAUAACAGCCUGAAAGGGUUGCUAAUACCGCAUAUGGUCAAAAGAGAUUAGAAGCUUUUGAUUAAAGGAGAAAUCCACUUUGGGAGGGGCCUGCGUCCCAUCAGCUAGUUGGUAGGGUAACGGCCUACCAAGGCGAAGACGGGUAGGGGACCUGAGAGGGUGACCCCCCACAAUGGAACUGAAACACGGUCCAUACACCUACGGGUGGCAGCAGUAGGGAAUAUUGCACAAUGGGCGAAAGCCUGAUGCAGCAACGCCGCGUGAGUGAAGAAGGCCCUCGGGUCGUAAAACUCUUUUCAAGAGGAAGAGGAAGGACGGUACUCUUGGAGUAAGCCUCGGCUAACUACGUGCCAGCAGCCGCGGUAACACGUAGGAGGCGAGCGUUAUUCGGAUUUACUGGGCGUAAAGCGCGUGUAGGCGGCUUAUUAAGUUGGAUGUGAAAGCUCCUGGCUUAACUGGGAGAGGACGUUCAAAACUAGUAAGCUUGAGUACGAGAGAGGAAAAUGGAAUUCCGGGUGUAGUGGUGAAAUGCGUAGAUAUCCGGAGGAACACCAGUGGCGAAGGCGAUUUUCUGGCUCGAGACUGACGCUCAGACGCGAAAGCUAGGGUAGCAAACGGGAUUAGAGACCCCGGUAGUCCUAGCUGUAAACGAUGUAGACUAGGCGUUGGUGGAGUAAAAUCCAUCAGUGCCGGAGCAAACGCGAUAAGUCUACCGCCUGGGGACUACGGCCGCAAGGUUAAAACUCAAAGGAAUUGACGGGGCCCCGCACAAGCAGCGGAGCGUGUGGUUUAAUUCGAUGCUACACGAAGAACCUUACCAGGGUUUGACAUACAAGUGGUAGAGAAGUGAAAACGGAACGACCCUUCGGGGAGCUUGUACAGGUGCUGCAUGGCUGUCGUCAGCUCGUGUCGUGAGAUGUUCGGUUAAGUCCGCUAACGAGCGCAACCCUCGCUGUGUGUUACAAGUGUCACACGGAACUGCCGGUCAUAAACCGGAGGAAGGUGGGGAUGACGUCAAGUCAGCAUGGCCUUUAUAUCCUGGGCUGCACACACGCUACAAUGGCCAGUACAAUGGGUUGCCAAGCCGCGAGGCGGAGCCAAUCCUAAAAAGCUGGCCUCAGUUCAGAUUGCAGUCUGCAACUCGACUGCAUGAAGUUGGAGUUGCUAGUAACCGCAGGUCAGCUAUACUGCGGUGAAUACGUUCCCGGGGAU
rnacentral:rRNA from 1 species